rnacentral:misc_RNA from 1 species
GAUGAAGAACGUUGCGAAAUGCGAUACUUGGUGUGAAUUGCAGAAUCCCGUGAACCAUCGAGUCUUUGAACGCAAGUUGCGCCCGAAGCCAUCAGGUUGAGGGCACGUCUGCCUGGGCGUCACAUAUCGUUGCCCAAUGCCUAUUGCAGUGCAAUAGGAAUUUCUAGGGCGAAUGAUGGCUUCCCGUGAGCGUUGUUGCCUCGCGGUUGGUUGAAAAUCGAGUCCUUGGUAGGGUGUGCCAUGGUAGAUGGUGGUCGAGUUAGAACGAUACCGAUCAUGUGCAUGCUCCCCAAAAUAUGGCCUCUAUGACCCACACGCGUCUUUUGACGCUCAUGACGAGACCUCAGGUCAGGCGGGGCUACCCGCUGAAUUUAAGCAUAUCAAUAAGCGGAGGA